GAGGAUGCCUCGGGCGCGAUGCCGGUCUAAGUUCCUUGGAACAGGACGUCAUAGAGGGUGAGAAUCCCGUACGUGACCGGCGGUCAACCCCAUAUGAGGCCCCUUCGACGAGUCGAGUUGUUUGGGAAUGCAGCUCUAAAUGGGUGGUAAAUUUCAUCUAAAGCUAAAUACCGGCCAGAGACCGAUAGCGCACAAGUAGAGUGAUCGAAAGAUGAAAAGCACUUUGGAAAGAGAGUUAAACAGUACGUGAAAUUGUUGAAAGGGAAGCGCUUGCGACCAGACUUGCCCGCGGGUGAUCAACCGUCCUUCGGGGCGGUGCACUGACCCGUGGUGCAGGCCAGCAUCGGUUUCGGCGGCCAGAUAAACGGGGCGGGAACGUAGCUCCCCCCGGGGAGUGUUAUAGCCCGCCCCACCAUGUGGCCCGCCGGGACCGAGGACCGCGCUCCGGCUAGGAUGCUGGCGUAAUGGUCGUCAGCGACCCGUCUUGAAACACGGACCAAGGAGUUGUCAAACGACGCGAGUCUUUGGGUGUCAAACCCACGGGCGCAAUGAAAGUGAAUGGAGGUGGGAACCCCCCCUGGGGGCGCACCAUCGACCGAUCCUGAUGUCUUCGGAUGGAUUUGAGUACGAGCGUCGGUUGACUGACCCGAAAGAUGGUGAACUAUGCGUGAAUAGGGUGAAGCCAGAGGAAACUCUGGUGGAGGCUCGCAGCGGUUCUGACGUGCAAAUCGAUCGUCAAAUUUGCGUAUAGGGGCGAAAGACUAAUCGAACCAUCUAGUAGCUGG
rnacentral:rRNA from 1 species